rnacentral:tRNA from 1 species
UGCGGGAUGGCGCAGUAAGGAAGCGCGCUGGUCUCAUACGCCAGAGGUCCCGGGUUCGAUUCCCGGUCCCGCUCCCA